rnacentral:lncRNA from 1 species
CCAACUUCCAGAGGACAGCCUUGGACAUCUGUGUAAAAAGCCAUUUUGUGACUCUGCCUAUCACCUUCUCCACAUGCAGAUCCAGCACAUGCUUCCCAGUCCCCAGGUCCCAGGACAAGGAUGGGGCACCAGCCCAGAGCAGCCCACACUAUUGGGGGCGCCCAUGUCUCUUAUGCCUCAGAAAGUCCCCGACCCAGCAGGAAAGCAGAGAGAAGGGAUCCAUGGAUAUGCUGGCUUGCCCCUACUUCUCACCAAUGUUGUCCCAGGUUGAGUGAGGGAAAGGAGAAAUAUGGGCUGUGAUAUGGACAGCAAGACAGGUGAGCUGCCUGGACAUCUGGUCAACCUUACCUCCCAUUUGCCAUUGAGAUGCACUCUGCACCAGGCCUUCCAAAGUACCUGCCAUUCCCCAAAUUGGCCAUGUUUUCCUUAAAGGACUUUGCUGGAGAAAGGAAUCGUCUUUGUCUAGACUCUAGAGAAAACUUGAGGGGAGGUUUACCAGCCACACAGCCUUACAUUCAUCCGGAAGAACAGGCAAGCCUGCAAUUCUGUCCAUCUCAACUGAGACAGCAACUAUCUCAACUGAGACAGCAACUAUCUCAACUGAGACAGCAGCCAGGGAUGUGUGUGGAAAAGCCUUGCUAUAGACAUUUGUGUCCCCUCAAAUUCAUGUGUUGAAAUCCUAGUCCACAACGCAAUGGUGUUUGAAGGGGAGGGCUCUGGGAGGUGAAUGGGUCAUGAAGGCAGAGACCUCACAAAUGGGAUUAGUGCCCUUAUAAAGGGACCCCAGAGAAUUCCCAUCUCCCUUCUACCAUAGGAGGACACAGGAAGAGGAUAAGUACCUGUAAACCAGAAGGCAAGCCCUCACCAUACACCAAAUCUGCCAGCACCUAGAGAGUGGGACUCCCAUCCACCCUAAGUGUGAGAUAUAAAUUUGUGUUAUUGACAUGCCACCCAACCUAGGGUAUUCUGUGAUAGCAGCCCAAACAGAUUAAGACAAGCCUCCAAUGUAGAAUUUAAAGGAAAUGGUUAGGAACCAGUUUUCUGACUUAAACCCCUGAUCUGGGGGCUUUUAUUUGCUUUGGGAAUAUACAAUUUUGAGAAAGUGGAGGAAGGGGGAAUUUGUGAAUGAUUGCUUUAAAGAAAAUUAAGAUGCUAUGAAUCCCAAUCUACACUGCCACGUGUAGAGAGUGAGACGUGCUUUCUGUCAGCUCAAGCCUAGGGAAGAGGCUGCCCUCAGACCAUCGAAGGAAUAUGAAGAUGGUCUCUGUACUUAGAGGACACUGUGCACUGCACAGAAAUCUGGGCAGCAGGAGAGGGCAUACAGCAGGGAUGGACCUGCACCCCCAGAGUUUACAGGAGUGAGAUGCAGACCAUGAGGGAAAGCCAGCCUGGGUCCAUUUUAAAGCCUAGGAGGGUGUGAGGGCUCCAACAGUGAGAUGGUACGUGGAGAAUAUCAAAUAACUAGGACAAAAGCAGCAAGGGUUGGGGGGAUAAUUGCAUAGUGUGCAUCUAGGGGGCAGCAGUGGGGUUCCCAAGCAGAGACAUUCCCGAGUAGUCCACCAGAGCAUCAAAGAAAGAGUCAGCUUUUUAGUUUCCUGGUGAUGCAGCAGGUUAAGGAUCUGGCAUUGUCACUGCAGUGGCUCAGGUCACUGCUAUGGCUCUGGCUUGAUCCCUGGCCGGGGAACUUCCACAUGCUAUGGGGUGGCGGGGGUGGUGGGGGGAAGAAAAGGAAAGAAACAAAGAGUCAGCUCAAAAUAUCUGUCAGACCCAGGCAUGUGGAGAAAAUGGCAGUUCAAUUUAGAGCUGUCCUUUUCCUCCUUCCCCUCCCCUCUUUCCACCCAGUGUCAGUAACAGCAGUUACAGGAUCAGACAGAAGAGAGGACAUAAGAAGAACAUGUCUGCUCUAGCAAAGGGUCAUCCAUAGUGAGUCUGUGCAAGGAACACAAUCACAUGCUAAUUAAAUUCAGAGAGUUAAUGAUUGUCAGGGUCUGGCUAUCUUAAUUUCUGAAAUUUGUUUGCAACUAACAUAACCAUUGGAUUGUCCACUGCCUAAGAGAGAGCAGAAGAGCCAUGGACCUGCCCAAAUUUUUAUCAGAGGCAAGGGAAAUUCAUCCCCCGCUACACCCAAUAAACUCAAAGGAGCAAUGAGAGAUCAAAAGAAACCUACACUGGAUUAUAUCCCCAAAGUCAGGUUUGUUCCAUAUGUAAUAAAAGCCAUCUAUCAUUGUUGCCAUCAACAUAGUCUGAAAGUAAGUCUAUAAAGCUUUCUUUAGGUGAUAUGCCUUUGAAGCUGUAAAUUUCAUGUCUAGAAGUUAUACUAAGAAAUAAAGCCUAACUGUACACAAAUACUGGAUACCAAAUGUAUGUGUGUGUCCUUGCUUAUGUGGUAAAUUUCACAGUUCAGUCCACCCAACACCAACAUCAGACCUCUCACUCCUGCCUACUAUUCAGGGAAGGUACAAAAGCUAAGUGUUCAUUGUCACAGCCACACUGGCAGCUAGGAGUGGCCAUGUGACAGCAUUCUGGACCAGGAAACACAGCCAAAUGUCUGCAGGUGCUGCCUUUUACCUUCUGCCUUGUUCCUGCAGUAAGUGUAGCCGAUAUGGCUAAAACUAUAGCUUCCAUCUUUAACUCUUGAGCAAAUGGCCAAGGGAAUGGCAGCAAAUCCAGCACUGACAUCAUGAACCCCAGAACAUGUCAACACUAUACCCCACUCUACAGAUCUCUUGCUAGAGACAAACAAGUGUCUAUUCAUUUAAGACAUUUGUAGUUGGGUUUUCUGUCACUUAAAGCCAAAUUCAACCCUAACAUGAAGGACACACACACAGGCACACAUGUCCCCACACCCCUCCCAAUACACACAAAUACAAUACAUACAUGUACGCAAGAAAAAAAAUAGUGGGAGAUACAACAAAAUGUAUGGUGGUAGGAUUUAUGUCAUUUUUUUCUUCCUUUUUUCCUGUUGAUAUUUUAAAUUUUUUCUACAAUGAAUAUGGAUUACUUUUGUGAGAAGACAAAAACUUUGUAAAAACUACUUUUUGAUGGUGAAGGCCCAAUUGUGCUGCACUGAAACAUAGACAUGUUUCAUGGUCCUUAAAGAGCUCUGUCUAUGUUCUUUGUUCUAUGGCUGGCUAAGCACACAUCUACCUCAAUCGGUUCUAUGAAGAUGGAACCCAAGAGAGACCAGCUAAAACUCUGCCAAGAUAACCUGAGCGUGACGUGAUAAGGGCCAGGUCUAUCAGAGAAAAAAGGGCAGAUACUUAUUGCAUCGUGUGCAAAACUUGAAAGACCUAGAAAUGAACAGGUAUUAUGGAAGAAAGGAGAGAAAAAUCAAGGAUCCUGACAUCCUAGGGAUAAAUUCCUAUUGAUCCUAAUGUAUGAUCCUUUUAGUGUGCUGAUGAAUUCAAUUUGCUAGUAUUUUGCUGAGGAUGUUUUCGUCUAUGUUAUGAGAAUACUGGUCUGUAAUUUUUCCCUCCUCUUCAAUUUUUUGUAAGAGUUUGAGAAGGACUGGCAUUGGUUCUUCUUUAAACAUUUUGUAGAAUUCACUGGUGAAGCCAUCUAGUCUUUGGCUUUUCUUUGUUGGAAGGUUUUAAAUUACUGCUUCAAUCUUCUUAUUCAUUACUGCUCUGUUCAAAUUUUCUGUUAUGAUUCAGUCUUGGUAGGUUGUACACUUCCAUAUAUUUAUCCAUUUCUUCUUGGUUGUCCAAUUUAUUUCCAUAGGCUCAUGAUUCUUUGUAUUUCUGUGCUAUCAGUUGUAAUGUCUCCUCUUUCAUUUAUAAUUUUAUUUGAGUUUUCUCCCUUUUUUUCUUUGGAAGUAUAGGCACAAGUUUGUCAAUUCUGUUUAUUUUUGCUUUUCAGGGCCACACCCAUGGUUCCCAGGCUAGGAGUCUCAUCUGAGCUACAGCUGCUGGCCUAUGCCAUAGCCACAGCAGUGCCAGAUCCAAGCCACAUCUAUGACAUACACUACAGCUCAUGGCAACGACAGAUCUUUAACCCACUGAGCAAGGCCAGGGAUCGAACCCGCAACCUCAUGGAUCCUAGUCAGAUUUGUCUCUGCUGCACCAUGACGGGAACUCCAUUCUCUAUUUCAUUUAAUUCUGCUCUAAUCUUUAUUAUCUCCAUCCUUCUUCUAAAUUUGGCUUAAUUUAUUCUUUUUCCAGUUCCAUGAGGUGUAAUGUUAGGUUGCUUAAGAUAGUUUUUUUCUUCAUGUAGGCAUUUAUCACUAUAAACUUCUUAGCACUGCUUUUCCUGAAUCCCAAAAGUUUUGGCAUGUUGUAUUUCCAUUUUCAUUUGUUUCAAGAUAUUUUAUUUCCAUUUUUUUUUCAUCUUUGAGCCACUGAUUUUUUUAGGAGCAUGAUGUUUCAUCUCCAUAUAUUUGUGAAUUUUCCAGUUUUCCUCCUGUUAUUGAUUUCAAUUUCAUAGCAUUGUGGUCAGAAAGGAUAUUUGGUAUAAAUCCAACCUUUUAAAAUUUGUUAAAAUUUGUUUUUUAUGCUAACAUAUGAUCUCUCCUAGAGAAUGUUCUCUGUGUGAUUGAGAAGAAUGUGUAUGCUGCUCCUGGUGGAUGGAAUGUCAUAUAUAUAUAUUUGUUAGGUCCAUUUGAUCAAUAGUGCAGUACAUGUCCAGUGUUUCCUUAUUGAUUUUCUGUCUGGGUGAUCUAUCCAUUGUUGAAAGUGGGAUAUUUUAUUUCUCUACUCUUAUUGGAUUGCUGUCUCUCACCCACUUCAAAUGGAUAGCAUUUGCUUGAUAUACCUAGGUGUUCCUAUGUUGGGUACAU